rnacentral:rRNA from 1 species
GACGAACGCUGGCGGCGUGCUUAACACAUGCAAGUCGAGCGGUAAGGCCCUUUCGGGGGGUACACGAGCGGCGAACGGGUGAGUAACACGUGGGUGACCUGCCCUCAGCUCUGGGAUAAGCCUGGGAAACCGGGUCUAAUACUGGAUAUGACUCCAUGACGCAUGUUGUGGGGUGGAAAGCCUUGUGCGGCUGAGGAUGGGCCCGCGGCCUAUCAGCUUGCUGGUGGGGUGAUGGCCUACCAAGGCGACGACGGGUAGCCGGCCUGAGAGGGCGACCGGGCCACACUGGGACUGAGACACGGCCCAGACUCCUACGGGAGGGCAGCAGUGGGGGAAUCUUGCGCAAUGGGCGAAAGCCUGACGCAGCGACGCCGCGUGAGGGAUGACGGCC